GCGGGGGUGCCCGAGCAUGGUCAAAGGGGGCGGACUUAAGAUGCCACCCGCCAGAUAAGAUAUCCGCUGGCGAAGGCCUGCGUGGGUCCGAAUCCCACCCCCCGCA
rnacentral:tRNA from 1 species